rnacentral:lncRNA from 1 species
AAAAUUGCUAGCAGGGGAAGUCUCCACAAACUUUUAUUAAACUUUCCGCAGCUCUCAGCUGGUGGGAACACUUCUAUGGCUCCCUGGUGCCCUUCUGGAUGGCUAAGGCCCCCUCAUGCUUGCUCAUGGAAAGCUGUAGGAGGUAGACACAGACGGAGCUGCCCAAGGAAGAGCAGGACUGGUCCCACAGUAUGUCCUGCUGACCACCUCAUCCUGAGAAAAGGGACGUACUUGCUCCUGAGACUUCCAGGCCUUUUUAAGAAACUCAAAAUGCUCUAUAAACCCUUGAAGGGCUCCAAGAACCAGAAGUUUUUGCAUCCUGCACUGGCCCGAGUGAACCUCACAUCCUGAAAAUGAGGUGACCUGACACUCAAUAUUCUAUUGCUUGAAGGCAGCCUGGGGACCAGAGCGUGUGUCCUCGCUGCUCCUGUGCUCCGUCCUCAGGGAGGGAGGCAGCUGGUGGAGACAGUGCUCCGGUGGUAAGUAAAGCUCAUGGGUUUUAGUGAUGUCUUCCUGCUUCCAGGGUAAAUCCAAGCUCAUAGCUAGCUGAGAAAUAAACACCUGGUGAACAUGGCUGUUAAAGAAAGA